UACUUAGGAAAAGCUUGAGGAACCCAAGAGGUCCACACAGUACUUAGGAAAAGCUUGAGGAACCCAAGAGGUCCACACAGUACUUAGGAAAAGCUUGAGGAACCCAAGAGGUCCACACAGUACUUAGGAAAAGCUUGAGGAACCCAAGAGGUCCACACAGUACUUAGGAAAAGCUUGAGGAACCCAAGAGGUCCACACAGUACUUAGGAAAAGCUUGAGGAACCCAAGAGGUCCACACAGUACUUAGGAAAAGCUUGAGGAACCCAAGAGGUCCACACAGUACUUAGGAAAAGCUUGAGGAACCCAAGAGGUCCACACAGUACUUAGGAAAAGCUUGAGGAACCCAAGAGGUCCACACAGUACUUAGGAAAAGCUUGAGGAACCCAAGAGGUCCACACAGUACUUAGGAAAAGCUUGAGGAACCCAAGAGGUCCACACAGUACUUAGGAAAAGCUUGAGGAACCCAUGAGGUCCACACAGUACUUAGGAAAAGCUUGAGGAACCCAAGAGGUCCAUACAGUACUUAGGAAAAGCUUGAGGA